ACCUACACACGCAACCACAGCCUGCCAUGGCACUCCGCGCCAUGGCACUCCGCCAACGCCGCCGCCCACGCCGCCGCGCCUUCCCUGUCUCCGACACACCCACGCAGUCCACGGACCACCGGAGCCGUGUGGGUCGUCCGACCAGGCGGAUCGCCGACGCCUACAGCGCCGUAGGGGGCGCGUUGCUGGCGGCGGCCAGGUCUGCGCUUCACCCGCGGGCGGCGCUUGUCGCUGCUCUCGGCCUCGACUCCGUCGAGAAAGAGGCAGCCGCGCGGCGCACCGAGCUCGUCGACCAGGACGGGGACGCGGCGUUGCUCGGCGCCAAUCUCAUCAAGCAGGACCAGGAGAUCACGCCGCUUGGCUCCAACAACCUCGUCGACCCGUACCAGGCACUACCAAUCGGUUCCAUCCUCGUCGACCAGGACGGGGAGGCGGCGUUGCUCGGCGACAAUAACCUCGUCAAGCAGGACCGGGAGAUGGCGCCGCUCGGCUCCAACCUCGUCGACCCGUACCACGAGACGGCGCCGCCGCUCGGCUACAUCCGCGUCAAGGCUGAGGGAGGCAAGAGCUGCAGCGAAAUCGUCGAGGAGGAAGAGAAGGACGGAACGACCGCGCCAAUCGGUUCCCAUCUCACCGGCGGCAUCGACCGCGCCUUCCUCGCUCGGAAGGGAGCACGGAUCGCCAGCACGCCCAGUCGCAACGGCCCCCCGGAAACCACCGGCAAGAAUCAUCCUCCUACGACGUCGCAGCGGGCGCGGAAGCCGCACCAGCCCUUCUGGAAGAAGGGCGGAAUGUGCGGGGACAUCUUCGUUGGUGAUGAUCGAAUGCCCCGCAACUCCGCGAAGGGGCAGCACAUUGCUGCUGACGCCGGUCGCCUCCCCAACCCCACCUCUUCUACAGCCCGUGGCACUUCUCGUGCGGCCGGGGUCCGGCAUCACCUCGCCGCCGCCUCAUCGGGGUCGGGGACUUCUCUUCCCCCGCCGCCGCCGCCGCCACCUUCGGGGUCACCACAAGGCGCACAACCCGCUGCCUCAGGCGCUCUUCGACCGGUGCCGCAUCCAAAUGAUGUUGGUUCUACUACGACAUCGCUCCCUCGCUCAGCUGCAGCCGUGGGAGCUGCUGUCGCAGCCGCCGUCACCAACAAUUCUUCUCCACUGCAAAUAACUAUAGCUGCUACGCAAGCUAUUCCCCCGCGGUCGCCGCCGCCCACGCCGCCUCCAUCUCCGGGUUCAGGUGGUUCUGGUUCGGCUGCACAAGGACCACGACUCGCUGCCGCAGGCGGUUCCCCUCCACCGGUGCCGCCUGCUGGCCCUGCUCAUCCCGUUGUGGCCGCUGGUCCACCCGCACCAAACGAUCGCUAUUUCAACUGGGAGUCAAAUCAUAUAAAUCUUGCGGCACAAAUCGUGUCGACCAUAUUUCAGGUGAUGGGGUUGGGGGAUGCCCUGAAAGCAUGGACAGCGGGUCACUUGAUUCAUGCUGGUAGCGGUUGGAGUAGUCGGUCUCGGUAUGAUGUCAUCGACAACUGCUGUGGGAGUUAACUGGAUCAGAAUAGUGGCUGCUAAUUUGGCACGGACAACAUCCACAGUCGCAGUAAUUCUGUUCCUCCUAAUUCUUUCAGAGCCAAUUGGCUAUGGCUGGGGUAUUGGCUUCAGUGCCUUUUUCGGCACCGGAAUGAUCGUGAUUUGGGUAGUGGGGGACCCUGUAGUCUUCCAUGCACUGAGAGACUGGUCUGGGAGAAUGACAACAACAUGGUGCAGUUCAUGUUGGGACAGCAUGAAGCAGCGAGUGAACGCGCGGUGGGACAGCAUGAAGCAGCGAGUGAACGCGCGCUGGGACACCAUCAAGCAGAACGUCAGCGCAAGAUGUGACAGAAUCAAGCAGUGGCUGAACGCAGCGCCUCGUGAGCACGACCAUGAUUUUCCUUGUAAACCCGAUUUUCCUUUCAAAGGAAGAGCAGAGGCUCGAUGACCUCGACCCAAGAACGAGAACAGAGGUGCCUCAUGUCCAUGGACCUAGAAGACGAAGCUUCCCUCCUCUUCUUUUUUUUUUUCCCCUCGCCGUCGCUGACUGAAUUUCACUCGCGGACGACGUCCCCCGGCGCUCUCCAUUGGCUCCCCUGGCGCCGGCAUGCGGGCUCUGCCGGGCACUCCCGCCUUACGAUCCGCGCUGUCUGCGCCUGACCCAUGGAGUCCCGGCGACCAUGGCCCAUGGGCCUCAACGGCGGGGCUCCAUCACGUGCGUGCGCACGGCCGGGCCCGGGGGAGACAGCCAGCCAAGACACGCUAGCAUCUCGCGCUCCUCCCCUUCACCGCCGGUUCAACAAGGGAAAAACCACCGCCUCGUCGUGUGGCUCCGCGGAGAGAUUGUCGAUUCAUCGCGCGCCUCCGCGAUUCCCGCGGCCGGCGACCCCUUCCUUCCUCUGUUGGAACGUGGCGUCGUCCGGGUCCGGGCUGUGGGACGUGAGCGCAUUCGGCUCAACGGUCCGGCUUCUCUGACACGGUGGGUCCCACCUUUACCUCCGCCUCCUCAGCUCCUCCUCCUCCUCGUUGCUCCUCUCUCUCCCUGUCUCUGCCGCUGCACAGAUCCGUCGCGAACAGAGGACGUCAGCAGCGCAGCGCCGCGCCCGCCCCCGCUCCCGCUCGAGCUCGCGCCUCCUUUCAAAUCUGGUGGUUGUCGUGCGGAGGAUGUCGCCGCUCGGGGAACACGGUAUGGUGCUUCUGCUGCCGCUCAGAGAUCCACCCAAGCCUGCUUCUGCUGGUGUUGGAUCUGAUUAUGUUGGUAGGAUUUGGGAAAGGAACAAAUCCACUGAGUUGUUUUCUUUUACGGAUAUGGUAGUGCCAUGAAAAUGUUACUGUGACUGGCUAAGUGAAUUUCUUCUCAUGCAAAAUUUAUUUCCUGGACCUAGAAACAAUCAGUUCUUUUCAGCAAGUGAAAUGCUUAGUUUGAGUUUUGAUGAGUGAAAUCCUCCAGUUAGCUGCUCAAAGCACUGCUAGCUAAAUGUGCUUGGUCCAAUUAUCUGCUGUAAAUUCAGAUAGAGUAUUUCAACAUGUAUAUGUUUUGAUGUCUUUGCAGGAAGCCAUCCAAAUGUGGCGUAUGCGGUGUUGUAGUUGCAUCAUCUGCUGAUGUGGAAUCACAUCAGUAAGUGUGGAUUCUCUUGCAUUUGCCACUUUGACUCAAUAGAUAGUGAUGCAUUUUUUUCAUGGCAGGGAAUGAUAAUUCUAUUCUUUUCCCAUUUCCCAAACAAUCUUGUUCAUUGGAUUGCUGGUGGUUACUCUGUGAAACAUGUGAACCGAAAUAACCAAACUUGUCCAUUGCCUUCAUGCUUGAUGGCUUGUAUUGUAGUUCACAGGUAUAUUGGUCAUGUCCAGUGUAGAACUGUAACAGGAAAUUGUACUAAGUCAUAAAAAUACUAUGUCUGGUAACAUCAGUUAUGCUAACUCACCCAGUAGCAAAAGCACAUAAUUGUUUGUUUUUGAAUUUCCUGCUGACAGUUCAUGUAUUUUUGGGAUUUAUCUAACCAGCCCAUUAUAUGAGCUGGCUGUGUUAUUAGCUCUAAGCGACAUGUCAAUUGAAUACAGCCAACAGCAGGCUAAAUUAUUAGUCAUGCUCUUAGAGGCGAUAGGGCUUGGUGCAGCAUUGCUCUGCUCCUGCACGUGGCGGGCUGGUUGCUGCUAUCGCUCUCUGGUUAUCGGUGAAGAACAGUGCAGGAAGGGAUAUGCACUUGCUGUAUUUCCGUACAUGAGUUUCUUGGCACUCUUUUGCAUGACCCCAAACCAAGCCUUUUAUAGCAACUAACAGAUGAAGUUGACAAGGAGUGCAAGAUGACUGAUAAUGUAAAAGAAUAUUAUGAGAUUCUCAGGGUACAAAUUUUGUAGACCUGUCAGCAUAUGGAACUUUCCUAUCCUUUUAUUUGGAUCCUAUUGUUUCUUUCCAGUUUUCAGGAAAAGUACAAGCGGAUAUCCACAAUUCGUUGUACUACACACAUAUACUUCAAAGAUUAAAUGAUGCUAGAUUGCAUAAAAUGGUCAUAGCCAAAUAUAUGUGAUAGGUAGAAGGCAGGGCAUAAAUCGUCAUGUUCUGUUUC